ACACAAUCUGGUAAUGAACAUGAACCUAGUGAUAAUGUUAAUGAUGAUGUUCAUGUUGAUGCUCAACCUAGUAAUGAUAAUGAUGUAGAGAUUGAACCUGUUGUUGAUCUUGAUAACCCACAAUCAAAGAUUCAACAUUAUGAUAAGAGAGACUUUGUUGCUAGGAAGCCCGGUAAAGAAAGAGAACCAUGGGUUCAGAAACCCAUGCCUUUUCCUCCUAAACCAUCCAAGAAAAAAGAUGAUGAGGAUUUUGAGCGCUUUGCUGAAAUGAUUAGACCUAUCUUUUUGCAUAUGCGUUUGACUGGUAUGCUUAAAAUGAAUCCUUAUGCUAAGUAUAUGAAGGAAAUUGUUACUAAUAAGAGAAAGAUGCCGGAAGCUGAAAUUUCCACCAUGCUUGCUAAUUAUACUUUUAAGGGUGGAAUACCAAAGAAACUUGGAGAUCCAGGAGUACCAACUAUACCAUGCUCCAUUAAAAGAAACUAUGUUAAAACUGCUUUAUGUGAUCUUGGAGCCGGUGUUAGUGUUAUGCCUCUCUCUUUAUAUCGUAGACUUGCUUUGAAUAAGUUGACACCUACUGAAAUAUCUUUGCAAAUGGCUGAUAAAUCAACUGAUAUACCGGUCGGUAUUUGUGAGGAUGUGCUCAUUGUGGUUGCAAACGUUACUAUUUUAACG
rnacentral:rRNA from 1 species